CCUACGGGUGGCUGCAGUGAGGAAUAUUGGUCAAUGGGCGCGAGCCUGAACCAGCCAAGUCGCGUGAGGGAGGACGGCCCUACGGGUUGUAAACCUCUUUUGCCGGGGCGCAACGGGCGCCACGUGUGGCGUCACUGAGAGUACCCGGAGAAAAAGCAUCGGCUAACUCCGUGCCAGCAGCCGCGGUAAUACGGAGGAUGCGAGGGUUAUCCGGAUUUAUUGGGUUUAAAGGGUGCGGAGGCGGAUCGUUAAGUCAGUGGUCAAAUGUAGGGGCUAAACCCCUUCCCGCCAUUGAAACUGGCAGUCUUGAGUACAGUAGAGGUGGGCGGAAUUCGUGGUGUAGCGGUGAAAUGCUUAGAUAUCACGAAGAACUCCGAUUGCGAAGGCAGUUCACUGGACUGCAACUGACACUGAGGCUCGAAAGUGUGGGUAUCAAACAGGAGUAGAUACCCGAGUAGUC
rnacentral:rRNA from 1 species